rnacentral:rRNA from 1 species
UACAGAGGUGGCAAGCGUUGUUCGGAAUUACUGGGCGUAAAGGGCGCGUAGGCGGUCCUCUAAGUCUUGUGUGAAAUCCCUCGGCUCAACUGAGGAACUGCACGGGAUACUGGAAGACUUGAGUUCGGGAGAGGGAAGCGGAAUUCCGGGUGUAGCGGUGAAGUGCGUAGAUAUCCGGAGGAACACCGGUGGCGAAGGCGGCUUCCUGGACCGACACUGACGCUGAGGCGCGAAAGCUAGGGGAGCAAACGGG